rnacentral:rRNA from 1 species
UGCAAGUCGAACGGAAAGGCCCUGCUUGCAGGGUACUCGAGUGGCGAACGGGUGAGUAACACGUGGGUGAUCUGCCCUGCACUUCGGGAUAAGCCUGGGAAACUGGGUCUAAUACCGGAUAGGACCAUCGUUUAGUGUCGGUGGUGGAAAGUUUUUUCGGUGUGGGAUGAGCUCGCGGCCUAUCAGCUUGUUGGUGGGGUAAUGGCCUACCAAGGCGUCGACGGGUAGCCGGCCUCAGAGGGGGAUCGGAUACCUU